rnacentral:rRNA from 1 species
CAGCCGCCGCGGUAAUACGGAGGGUGCAAGCGUUAAUCGGAAUUACUGGGCGUAAAGCGUGCGUAGGCGGUUCGUUAAGUCUGUUGUGAAAGCCCCGGGCUCAACCUGGGACCUGCAUUUGUGACUGUAUAGCUAGAGUACGGUAGAGGGGGAUGGAACUCCGCGUGUAGCAGUGAAAUGCGUAGAUAUGCGGAGGAACACCGAUGGCGAAGGCAAUCCCCUGGACCUGUACUGACGCUCAUGCACGAAAGCGUGGGGAGCAAACAGGAUUAGAUACCCGAGUAGUCCCUGUCUCUUAUAC